AUUCCAGCUCCAAUAGCGUAUAUUAAAGUUGUUGCGGUUAAAAAGCUCGUAGUUGGAUUUCUGUCGGUGAAUAUCAGUCCGCCCACAGCGGUAGGUAGGUGAUAUUUCACCGGCAUCUUCCUGGGGAAUGUGUCUACUCUUUAUUGAGUGGUACAUAAGCCAGGACUUUUACUUUGAAGAAAUGAGAGUGUUUCAAGCAGGCAUGCGCCGUGAAUACGUUAGCAUGGGAUAAUAGCAUCGGACCUCGUUCCAAAGCUGUUGGUUUCUUGGACCGAGGUAAAGGUGAAUAGGGAUUGUUGGGGGCAUUCGUAUUUGACUGUCAGAGGUGAAAUUCUUGGAUUUGUUGAAGACGGACUACUGCGAAAGCAUCUGCCAAAGAUGUUCUCAUCG
rnacentral:rRNA from 1 species